UCCGGGGUAGCUCAGCGGUAGAGCAGGUGCCUGUUAAGCACUUGGUCGUGGGUCCGAUUCCCACCCCCGGAGCCA
rnacentral:tRNA from 1 species